CAAAGGCUUGGUCCUGACUUUUCUGUCGGCUUUAACUAGACUUACACAUGCAAGUAUCCGCACCCCUGUGCGAAUGCCCUAACAGUCACCUACUCGGAGACAAGGAGCUGGUAUCAGGCACAACCUUACCAUUGCCCACGACACCUUGCUAAGCCACACCCCCAAGGGAAUUCAGCAGUGAUAAACAUUAAGCCAUAAGUGAAAGCUUGACUUAGUUAAAGUUAAGAGGGCCGGUAAAACUCGUGCCAGCUACCGCGGUUAUACGAGAGGCCCAAGUUGACAGACGCCGGCGUAAAGCGUGGUUAAGAUGAAGAAUAUACUAAAGCCGAACGCCCUCAGAGCUGUUAUACGCAUCCGAAGGUAAGAAGUUCAAUUACGAAAGUAGCUUUAUACCUCUGACUCCACGAAAGCCAAGGCACAAACUGGGAUUAGAUACCCCACUAUGCUUUGCCCUAAACAUAGAUAGUACGCCACAACAACUAUCCGCCCGGGGAUUACGAGCACGAGCUUAAAACCCAAAGGACUUGGCGGUGCUUUAGACCCACCUAGAGGAGCCUGUUCUAUAACCGAUAUUCCCCGUUCAACCUCACCUUUUCUUGUUCUCACCGCCUAUAUACCGCCGUCGCCAGCUUACCCUGUGAAGGCCUAAUAGUAAGCAAAAUUGGCACAGCCCAAAACGUCAGGUCGAGGUGUAGCGUAUGGAAAGGGAAGAAAUGGGCUACAUUCCCUAACACCAGGGAAUUACGAAACUUGUACUGAAAUGUACAUGGAAGGAGGAUUUAGCAGUAAGCAAAAAAUAGAGUGUUUUGCUGAAAUAGGCUCUGAAGCGCGCACACACCGCCCGUCACUCUCCCCAAGCUCCUAAUAUUACUGGUAUUUAACACAUCAUUAACUGCAAAGGGGAGGCAAGUCGUAACAUGGUAAGUGUACCGGAAGGUGCACUUGGCAAAACAUAU
rnacentral:ncRNA from 1 species